rnacentral:lncRNA from 1 species
CAGGAUGCGGCCCCCAGGACUAACCAAACUGCAGGCCCUCCCACCACUUGACUUCAGAGCGGAAAGCGGUGGUGGCUGUAUGGAAGGUCUCACUAGUGAGCUGUGCUCGUGCAAGACUGGGAAGGAAGGGCCAUCCCUUCCCCCUGCUGUGGUUGGGGAGCUGGUGGAUUUUCCCACAGCAGCUUUGCGGGUGUUGAGAGGUGACGGUGGCCGUGGCCGUGGCGGCGUCCCCAUCCUCAGGUCAAGGAGAGGCAGUGGUCUGAGGUCACCCUCGCCCACAGCUGCUCCUGAGGCCCUGCCUUCCUGAUGGGGCAGAGCAGCAGCUCCCCAGAGGGUCUGCAGGGUGUUCCAGGCCCUUCCAACUGCGUCGUAAGCAGCUACUUUCCAGUCAGAAAUCCUGUUCUGCCUCAAGCAGCCGAAGUACUUUCGUUUCCUGUCGGAGUCAGUGGGUCCUGGGUGAGGCCUGAGACUGCAUUUCUCACAAGUUCCAGCUGUGGGCCUUUCGCUGACAUUCCAAGGCAGCGGGAGGAAGCGCCUUUGCCAGCCUGCACAAGCUGGAGGCCAGGCCAGGUGUGCGGGGCACAAAGGCACAGGUCAGCAGUGUUUCCUGGUGGGACCUGGGUUCCCGUCCUCAAAGGACAAGCACCUCAGGAGCACAGAGGAGCAAGGCGGUCCUUCCGGCAGUGGACCAGGGCAGGAAGGCUCAGCGGGCUGCCGCUGCUGAGCUGGGCCUUUGCACCAACAACAGGGCGGAGAGCAUGGCAGGAGGCGAGGAACAGUGGAACACUGGUUAGAAGGCAGGACAGCCUCGCCCGCUGGCUGCAUCUUCUGGAAACUCCCCUCCUGAGUGAUAUGUGGGACAGGGUGGGGCCGAGCGAAAGCAGGGUCAGGCUGGGAAGGCCAGGCAAAGGAGUUUGGCACGCGCCUAAGGAUUCUGAGUGGCCCUCUGAUCAGAGGCGUGACAACAUUCAGAGGAGAUGGAGCAGGUGGCCUGAGGAGCAGAGACACAGGAUAACAGAAAUCUGCGUUCACGUGUCCUCCUGCCAGCCCGGGUUACAGGAGCCCGCCUCGUGGAACUUAACUACAUUUUAUAAACAGAACCAUUCACGCAGCGGGCUGUCAUAUUUCUUCAAAAGUUAGAACAGUAAAUGCAACAACAGAAAAGAACAUGUUGUCCGUUUAGCUUACUCUAUAAACACGGGCUUUUGAAGGGCAGACGGAAAAAUAUCCAGCACAGCACUCAAUAAAUACAUGCCAAAUGUGUCGAAUGAAUGAAUGAAUGUAUGAGGCUAGGGCCAGCUGCCUUGGAGUGGGUAUUCCAGGGGUCCAGGGCUGCCCUGAUCACGGGCCGUGUAGCGCUGGGCA